rnacentral:rRNA from 1 species
UACAGAGGGGGCAAGCGUUGUUCGGAAUUACUGGGCGUAAAGGGUUCGUAGGUGGCUUGCUAAGUCAGACGUGAAAUCCCUCAGCUUAACUGGGGAACUGCGUCUGAUACUGGCGAGCUUGAGUGCAGGAGAGGAACGCGGAAUUCCAGGUGUAGCGGUGAAAUGUGUAGAGAUCGGGAGGAACACCGGUGGCGAAGGCGGGUCUCUGGGCAAUUCCUGACGCUGAGGCGCGAAGGCGCGGGGAGCGAACGGG